rnacentral:rRNA from 1 species
UCGGGAAUAUUGCGCAAUGGAGGAAACUCUGACGCAGUGACGCCGCGUAUAGGAAGAAGGUUUUCGGAUUGUAAACUAUUGUCCACAGGGACGAAAAGGACUGUACCUGUGAAGAAAGCUCCGGCUAACUACGUGCCAGCAGCCGCGGUAAUACGUAGGGAGCAAGCGUUAUCCGGAAUUAUUGGGUGUAAAGGGUGCGUAGACGGGAUAACAAGUUAGUUGUGAAACCCCUCGGCUCAACUGAGGAACUGCAACUAAAACUAUUAUUCUUGAGUGCAGGAGAGGAAAGUGGAAUUCCUAGUGUAGCGGUGAAAUGCGUAGAUAUUAGGAAGAACACCGGUGGCGAAGGCGACUUUCUGGACUGUAACUGACGUUGAGGCACGAAAGUGUGGGGAGCAAACA